rnacentral:sRNA from 1 species
UUGACAGCCUUUGCAACUGAAGUCCUCUAUUUAUCCUCAUAACAGGUACUGUACAAGCAGCAGCUGUAAACAAUUUAUUAUAUUUUUCUACUCAUUUAUUAUAUAUUUAUUCACUAUCCAGCAAAGAAACAUACCUUAGUAAUGACCUGGAAGGACCACCUCUAGGGUAAGAGUUUUGUUGUUACACUAUCAAAGGAAGCU